UACGUAGGGGGCGAGCGUUGUCCGGAUUCAUUGGGCGUAAAGAGCUCGUAGGCGGCUGACUAAGUCAGGUGUGAAACCUCCAGGCUCAACCUGGAGUCGCCACCUGAUACUGGUCUGGCUAGAGUCCGGUAGGGGACCACGGAAUUCCUGGUGUAGCGGUGAAAUGCGCAGAUAUCAGGAGGAACACCGGUGGCGAAGGCGGGUCUCUGGGCCAAAACUGACGCUGAGGAGCGAAAGCGUGGGGAGCGAACAGG
rnacentral:rRNA from 1 species